CUAGACUGCUUUUUGGGGGUGAAGGCUGUAUCACCAGAGAGCUCUUUCACCAGUGGGAGAAAUAACCUUGGUUACUGGUGCUGUACUGAGUGCCCAGAACCACAUCCAGGUGACUUUUAAAGAUCUCCAAGAAGGAGACCUCACAGCCUAUCUGGGCACAAGCUACAUCAGUGCUCCAUCACCUACACAACACAGCAGUGCUGCCGGGUGCUCAGAAGGAACCUGCUGCUCCAGUUCGUUCCCAUUGCCUUUGGUCCUGGCACUGGGAACCACUGUAAAGAACCAAGCUCUUUACACCUUCCCUUCAGGUAUUUACAGACACUGAGAUCCUCUUCUGAGCCUUCUCCAGGUUGAACAGCCCCGGUUCUCUCAUGGAAGUGCUCCAAAGAAGCCUUGUCAUUGGACACUCUCUGGCAGCUCCGUGUCUCUCUUGUGCUGGAUUUCUCAGUUUUAAUUGGUAACAAAAUAAAACUACUAAUUACUGUAGCUAUGUACUUGAAGGGAUCAAAUUCCCCAGUUUCUAGGAAAAGCAUAUAGCAAAAGCUGUGCUUGAAUGUGUGCAAAACCAAAUUGUUUGUGGUGUUAAGGUCUAGUGUGUGAAAUGCAUCUUGUCUUUGCUGUACUGCCCACACACACACGUCUGAUUAUUAUCACUGCAAGUCCCAAAGCUGUGUUGACUAAAUUGAUCACUGAUUGGUGAUCACCUAGGGCCUCAGUCUAUACACUUGCGCUUGUAGCGGAAGAACAGUGCCUGUGCCUGUGAAGUUCUGGCACAAGAAAUGAAGUUUUUUUUUGGCUCUGAAGUAUUGAUACAAAUCCCUGCAGAUUAGUCCUCAAGGAACAAUAGACCUCCCCAGCAUCUUGGUCUGAAGCCAAGCUGUGCAAACAAUAGAGUGAGGAGAUGGUUUAAGAGCUGCCAUGAAGGCACCAGAUAGUGCUGGUGACUCUAUGCAAAAAGUAACUUCUUAAGGACAGCUGUGUCUUCAGGAUCGAUGUCCUGAUUACCCAGGCCUUGGGCUUUCUGCCAGGGUACUUACUUUCCAACCCUCAUAUGGGCUUUGUUUAAUGUUUGUUGUAAAUGAAAGAUAAAAACUAACUUUUCUCCCCCGCAAACAUUAAGGUUCUGCCUCAUUAUACCCUGUGUAUCCAAAUGACGGAUGAUGUAAAAAGAAUCAGAACACAGUGUUUUGUUUGUCCUGGCGUUAAUGAGUGUUUGAAAUGCUGAUGUGUAGGCAAAUCUAUUUUUGUUCUCAUAUUUUGCAUAUAUAUUGUUUUAUAAUGCCUUAUGGGGGGGGAAUAGGAAUUUAACAUCUAAAUAUUUUAAUAUUCAUCAAUAGCAGUAUGUACAAAAAAGGAGGGAUCUUUAUGGGAUUUUUUUUCCCCUUCAGAUAUAGUAGUGAAUGUUAGUUUGUCUUCAUGCAAGCAUUUACAUUGUUUGUACCAAUUUAUCCAUCUCAUUUAGGAUUGGUGUGUGUUAAUUCUUAUCUUCAGGAAAUAGACACAUCUUGUUCUUU
ensembl:lncRNA